AUACUUACCUGUCAGGGGAGAUACCAUGAUCAUGAAGGUGGUUUUCCCAGGGCAAGGUUUAUCCAUUGCACUCCAGAUGUGCUGACCCCUGCGAUUUCCCCAAAUGUGGGAAACUCAACAGCAUAAUUUGUGGUAGUGGGGGACUGCAUUCGCGUUCUCCCCUG
rnacentral:snRNA from 1 species